CCUACGGGUGGCAGCAGUGAGGAAUAUUGGUCAAUGGCCGGAAGGCUGAACCAGCCAUGCCGCGUGAAGGUCAGUGCCCUAUGGGCGUUAAACUUCUUUUGUGCGGGAGCAAUAAUGGUCACGUGUGGCCAGACGAGAGUACCGUACGAAUAAGCAUCGGCUAACUCCGUGCCAGCAGCCGCGGUAAUACGGGGGAUGCAAGCGUUAUCCGGAUUAAUUGGGUUUAAAGGGUGCGUAGGCUGUGAGGUAAGUCAGCGGUGAAAUGCCCCCGCUCAACGGGGUGAAGUGCCAUUGAUACUGCCUUGCUUGAAUGCGGAUGCCGUGGGAGGAAUGUGUGGUGUAGCGGUGAAAUGCAUAGAUAUCACACAGAACACCGAUUGCGAAGGCAUCUCACGAAUCCGCGAUUGACGCUGAUGCACGAAAGCGUGGGUAUCAAACAGGAUUAGAUACCCUGGUAGUC
rnacentral:rRNA from 1 species